GGGGAUUUAGCUCAGUGGUAGAGCACUUGCCUAGCAAGCAUAAGGCCCUGGGUUCAGUCCCCA
rnacentral:tRNA from 1 species